rnacentral:rRNA from 1 species
GACGGGGGGUCCUAGCGUUGUUCGGAAUCAUUGGGCGUAAAGCGUGUGCAGGUGGUUUUGUAAGUUAGAUGUGAAAGCCUUGGGCUUAACCCAAGAAGUGCAUUUAAAACUACAAAACUUGAGUAUGGAAGAGGGUCGUGGAAUUCCUGGUGUAGCGGUGAAAUGCGCAGAUAUCAGGAGGAACACCGGUGGCGAAGGCGGGUCUCUGGGCCGAUACUGACGCUGAGGAGCGAAAGCGUGGGGAGCAAACAGG